rnacentral:rRNA from 1 species
CACGUAGGGGGCAAGCGUUGUCCGGAUUUAUUGGGCGUAAAGAGCUCGUAGGUGGUUCGGUAAGUCGGGUGUUAAACCCCCAGGCUCAACCUGGGGACGCCACUCGAUACUGCUGUGACUUGAGUCCGGUAGGGGAGCGUGGAAUUCCUGGUGUAGCGGUGAAAUGCGCAGAUAUCAGGAGGAACACCAGCGGCGAAGGCGGCGCUCUGGGCCGGUACUGACACUGAGGAGCGAAAGCGUGGGGAGCGAACAGG